GAAGCCUCAUUGCCGAUAGGAAUUUUGGCCGCCUCGGACCCCCUAUCUUUUCUUCUUUCAUUUUUUUAAUUCUUUGUGCGUAAGCUCCGACUCCUACGGCAUUGUUAUCUUCCUUGGUGUAUUGUGGAGGAACUUGGAGCUUGUUGAAGAAGGUGCUGCAGUGCAGCUCAGGUUCCGAAAACUCCUUCGUGUGACGGUGGUGGCGUAAAAUUGAUUGUUGACAGCCACUAGUUUUUUGUCUUCUUUUUGUUAGCCUUCUAGUUAGCUACUGUUGUGGCGUCCUGCUCGUAAUCGCGUUGCCCUUGCUAGUGCAACACUCUAGCGGUGAUUUGUGGCGGAUGAAUUUAUGGAUUAAAAAAAUAUCUGCGAUUUUGUAGGGAAGCAGAAUCUAGUUUUAAUUUUGUUACAGUAGAAGACUGGUAACGCGUGGCUUUCUUGCGGUGCGGCAUCGAUUUGAUUGGUUCAGCGGAGGUUGCGGAAUUACGGCGAAGGCAAUUGGGCUUGGUCGGCACGAAGGCCUCUUCGAAUUGUUGGCAGAAUUUAAAGUGUGGCGUGGUGUCAACGUUGGAAGUCAUCAUCAAAUUCAGAAACAUUGUUGAUUAGUUGCUGCACGGAUGAAUAGUUGUGUGGGAUCCAAUUUGGACUCCUUAGUGAAGUCAAACUGGUAGAGUUUGAGUCGUCGACGAGCCUCGACGCUUCCAAGACAAGUGCUAUUAAACUGACUCAAGUCGUCGUUAUCUUUGCAUUGUUGCAACCGUUGCUGAAGCUGAAUUCCUGUGUGGAGCUUGCUCAAGGAGGGACGGUUGAAGUAAAGGUCCAUGGGUGAUCGAAAUUGGAGGCGCUUUCCAUCCUUCAUGCGGAUUCAUCAACGACGCUUCUAUCUUCUAUGAGAAUUUCCAAGGACAGUAUGUGUAGACAAUCAAGUGAAUUUAAAUACAAUUAAAACCAAGCUAUUAGGGUUGAUGUUAAAUUAGGUUUUGACAACUAUUUUGGAUGAAGUUGAUGAUAAAUUUGAAUUAAGUUAGACGACAACUUCUUUAGAUGAACUUAGGUUGAAUGUAGAUGGUAAAUUGUAGAUGGAUCUUAUUUCGAAUUGGAUGAAUCCUUGUGUGUAGGUGAAAAGUCAUUUUUGGAUGAAAA